rnacentral:siRNA from 1 species
UGGAGCCAUCUACUCGACCAGU